UGGGGAAUUUUGGACAAUGGGCGAAAGCCUGAUCCAGCAAUGCCGCGUGUGUGAAGAAGGCCUUCGGGUUGUAAAGCACUUUUGUCCGGAAAGAAAUCCUUGGCUCUAAUACAGUCGGGGGAUGACGGUACCGGAAGAAUAAGCACCGGCUAACUACGUGCCAGCAGCCGCGGUAAUACGUAGGGUGCAAGCGUUAAUCGGAAUUACUGGGCGUAAAGCGUGCGCAGGCGGUUUGCUAAGACCGAUGUGAAAUCCCCGGGCUCAACCUGGGAACUGCAUUGGUGACUGGCAGGCUAGAGUAUGGCAGAGGGGGGUAGAAUUCCACGUGUAGCAGUGAAAUGCGUAGAGAUGUGGAGGAAUACCGAUGGCGAAGGCAGCCCCCUGGGCCAAUACUGACGCUCAUGCACGAAAGCGUGGGGAGCAAACAGGAUUAGAUACCCUGGUAGUCCACGCCCUAAACGAUGUCAACUAGUUGUUGGGGAUUCAUUUCCUUAGUAACGUAGCUAACGCGUGAAGUUGACCGCCUGGGGAGUACGGUCGCAAGACUGAAACUCAAAUGAA
rnacentral:rRNA from 1 species